CACGUUACAGUUUUUUCAGUCCAGCAAACUGGUCUUUCAUUCUCCAGUUUCAGUUGUUGCUUGUUACAAAGUAACUAGAUUUUAGCAACAGUGUGGCAGGUUC